UACGUAGGGUGCGAGCGUUAAUCGGAAUUACUGGGCGUAAAGCGUGCGCAGGCGGUUUUGUAAGUCAGGUGUGAAAUCCCCGGGCUUAACCUGGGAACUGCAUUUGGGACUGCAAGGCUUGAGUGCGGCAGAGGAGACUGGAAUUCCUGGUGUAGCAGUGAAAUGCGUAGAUAUCAGGAAGAACACCAAUGGCGAAAGCAGCUCUCUGGGACGGUACUGACGCUGAGACGCGAAAGCGUGGGGAGCGAACAGG
rnacentral:rRNA from 1 species